rnacentral:rRNA from 1 species
AGAAUCAACGCUGGCGGCGUGCCUAACACAUGCAAGUCGAACGCGAAAGUCCCGCAAGGGGCAAGUAGAGUGGCAAACGGGUGAGUAACACGUGGGUGACCUGCCUUCGAGUGGGGGAUAACGUCCCGAAAGGGACGCUAAUACCGCAUGACAUCCUGUCCUUAGACGGACGGAGAUCAAAGCUGGGGAUCGCAAGACCUGGCGCUUGAAGAGGGGCCCGCGCCUGAUUAGCUAGUUGGUGAGGUAACGGCUCACCAAGGCUACGAUC